CUGCUGUGGAACUUGUCUCUGUCUCUUUUUCUGAUUUUGUCCCUCAGUCGAAUUAUUUCUUCUGAGGAGGCAACGACGGAAGUUGCUACAGACCCCUAAGGACAGGCCAUCAGUAACACUGGGUAAAUCAGAUCUCUUCCACGGGUCUAUCAAUGAGAAGAAAGUGCCAACUGAAAACUUUUAGAAAAUACCCAGUUUACUCAAGGAAAAUAGCAUGCAUUGAAGAUGAUUGCUCAAUAGAGAGAAGUUGAAACAGCAGACUAAUUGCCUGUUUGUGACACCCAUGUAAUCAACUUGCCAUUUGUACUCAUCAGUUCAGGCUGUGUUUUCCCACUGAGACAUCAUUUACAGUGCUCUAAACAUAUUUUCACAACAUUCACCUGACAACAUCAGCUGAGAGAAAAAUUUUCAGACUGCUGAGAAACAUCAGGAGGCCAUGAAUUCUUAAUCAACACACCAAAUUAUGAAAAUGGCCUAUAGGUUGAGGUUGAUCUGAAAGAUAGGACUAUUUGUGAUCCAGAAUCAAAAGAGUCAAGAAAAGUCUGAGAAUUUCAUCCUUGGAGCAGAAAGUGAAAGUGUUCUGGAGCCAAAAGUAGUAACAAAGAUGGAGGGCAAGAGAUCAUUGGAUUAAAUCAUAUUGGCAGACCAAAUUUCAGAAGAAUCAACACACCAGAGACAAGAAGAACUUGAAGUUAAAGCAAAGUUCCCUUAUA
rnacentral:lncRNA from 1 species